rnacentral:rRNA from 1 species
AACGAACGCUGGCGGCAGGCCUAACACAUGCAAGUCGAGCGAACCCUUCGGGGUUAGCGGCGGACGGGUGAGUAACGCGUGGGAAUAUGCCCUUUGCUACGGAAUAGCCCCGGGAAACUGGGAGUAAUACCGUAUGUGCCCUCCGGGGGAAAGAUUUAUCGGCAAAGGAUUAGCCCGCGUUGGAUUAGGUAGUUGGUGGGGUAAUGGCCUACCAAGCCUACGAUCCAUAGCUGGUUUGAGAGGAUGAUCAGCCACACUGGGACUGAGACACGGCCCAGAAUCCUACGGGAGGCAGCAGUGGGGAAUCUUAGACAAUGGGGGCAACCCUGAUCUAGCCAUGCCGCGUGAUCGAUGAAGGCCUUAGGGUUGUAAAGAUCUUUCAGCUGGGAAGAUAAUGACGGUACCAGCAGAAGAAGCCCCGGCUAACUCCGUGCCAGCCGCCGCCGUAAAAC